UGAUGGUAUCAAUCUCAAGGUGCCGCCCGCUAGGGGGGCGGAGAAUUGGGAAGCCGGUCGAAAUCCGGCGCUGCCCCCGCAACGGUGGUGGAGUAAGGCAUGGCGAAUGAAGCCACUGGGCUUAAGACAGCCUGGGAAGGUGCCAUGGGGUCCUUUGGGGGACCGCUCCAGAGCCCGGAAACCAGCCUUGGGGAGACUGAUUUA
rnacentral:ncRNA from 2 species